rnacentral:rRNA from 1 species
UACGGGGGGGGCAAGCGUUGUUCGGAAUUACUGGGCGUAAAGGGCUCGUAGGCGGCCAACUAAGUCGGACGUGAAAUCCCCAGGCUCAACCUGGGAACUGCGUCCGAUACUGGGAGGCUUGAAUCCGGGAGAGGGAUGUGGAAUUCCAGGUGUAGCGGUGAAAUGCGUAGAUAUCUGGAGGAACACCGGUGGCGAAGGCGGCAUCCUGGACCGGUAUUGACGCUGAUGCGCGAAAGCCAGGGGAGCAAACGGG